rnacentral:tRNA from 1 species
GCCCCCGUAGCUCAACCGGAUGGAGCAACGCUUUUCUAAAGCGUCGGCUGGGGGUUCGAGUCCCUCCGGGGGUA